rnacentral:lncRNA from 1 species
CCCUCGUGUUCCAUGAUUUAACAAGCGAUGACCACUCCACUACCAUUGUCAACUACCUCCUCACAUGAACUGGAAGCCACGUCUCAUGUGGCCCACUCAUCCACUGGCACAUUGAAUGUUUCCUCUCCAAGCACGUCAAAUCCUGUCCUGCACUGGUCAAGCCUCUGAACAACUCAACUCAUGCCUCAUACCCUCAUUCAAUCACUGCUGUGAUCCCUUCCCAAAAUGGUGCAGCCUGGGAAAGAACUGAAAAAACUCACUAAAGAGUCAAGACAGAGACACCAGAAAGACCCAAGAAGACUUGGACGCAGCAUCAGAGGACAGAGAGGGAUGUUCAGAACUCACUCAGUCUGGUCAGUUGGUGAGGGUAGACUUGGAGGCUGCUUACCUGACAUGGAGGAAGUCCCCCCUCCUCUCCCCU